AUCGCUUCUCGGCCUUUUGGCUAAGAUCAAGUGUAGUAUCUUCUGUUUCAUCUGCUAGUGCAGUCUGUAUAUAGUAUACAGUAUUUGAAAAUGUUAAAUGCUUUCAUGUUUCUUCCUAUUGUACUCUGUGUGUUCCUACCGGUAGAUAAAAUAAUUUCUAAACUUCUAAAAUAAUUUAUUCUAA